UGGGGAAUAUUGGGCAAUGGGCGAAAGCCUGACCCAGCAACGCCGCGUGAGGGAAGAAGGCCUUCGGGUUGUAAACCUCUGUCCUUGGUGACGAAGAAAGUGACGGUAGCCAAGGAGGAAGCCCCGGCUAACUACGUGCCAGCAGCCGCGGUAAUACGUAGGGGGCAAGCGUUAUCCGGAAUUACUGGGCGUAAAGGGUGCGUAGGCGGCAUCUUAAGUUGGAUGUGAAAUACCCGGGCUUAACUUGGGGGGUGCAUCCAAUACUGGGGAGCUAGAGUGCAGGAGAGGGAAGCGGAAUUCCUAGUGUAGCGGUGAAAUGCGUAGAUAUUAGGAGGAACACCAGUGGCGAAGGCGGCUUUCUGGACUGUAACUGACGCUGAAGCACGAAAGCGUGGGGAGCAAACAGG
rnacentral:rRNA from 1 species